AGCGAACGCUGGCGGCAGGCCUAACACAUGCAAGUCGAACGGACCCUUCGGGGUUAGUGGCGGACAGGUGAGUAACACGUGGGAACGUGCCUUUAGGUUCGGAAUAGCUCCUGGAAACGGGUGGUAAUGCCGCAUGUGCCCUUCGGGGGAAAGAUUUAUAGCCUUUAGAGCGGCCCGCGUCUGAUUAGCUAGUUGGUGAGGUAAUGGCAUACCAAGGCGACGAUCAGUAGCAGGUCUGAGAGGACGACCAGCCACACUGGGACUGAGACACGGCCCAGACUCCUACGGGAGGCAGCAGUGGGGAAUCUUGCGCAAUGGGCGAAAGCCUGACGCAGCCAUGCCGCGUGAAUGAUGAAGGUCUUAGGAUUGUAAAAUUCUUUCACCGGGGACGAUAAUGACGGUACCCGGAGAAGAAGCCCCGGCUAACUUCGUGCCAGCAGCCGCCGUAA
rnacentral:rRNA from 1 species